GAUGAACGCUGGCGGCGUGCCUAAUACAUGCAAGUAGAACGCUGAAGGAAGGAGCUUGCUCUUUCCGGAUGAGUUGCGAACGGGUGAGUAACGCGUAGGUAACCUGCCUGGUAGCGGGGGAUAACUAUUGGAAACGAUAGCUAAUACCGCAUAACAGUAGAUGUUGCAUGAUAUCUACUUAAAAGGUGCAAUUGCGCCACUACCAGAUGGACCUGCGUUGUAUUAGCUAGUUGGUGAGGUAACGGCUCACCAAGGCGACGAUACAUAGCCGACCUGAGAGGGUGAUCGGCCACACUGGGACUGAGACACGGCCCAGACUCCUACGGGAGGCAGCAGUAGGGAAUCUUCGGCAAUGGACGGAAGUCUGACCGAGCAACGCCGCGUGAGUGAAGAAGGUUUUCGGAUCGUAAAGCUCUGUUGUAAGAGAAGAACGAGUGUGAGAGUGGAAAGUUCACACUGUGACGGUAUCUUACCAGAAAGGGACGGCUAACUACGUG
rnacentral:rRNA from 1 species